GAUUAAGUUAUUAAGGGCGCACGGUGGAUGCCUUGGCACUAGAAGCCGAUGAAGGACGUUACUAACGACGAUAUGCUUUGGGGAGCUGUAAGUAAGCUUUGAUCCAGAGAUUUCCGAAUGGGGAAACCCAGCAUGAGUUAUGUCAUGUUAUCGAUAUGUGAAUACAUAGCAUAUCAGAAGGCACACCCGGAGAACUGAAACAUCUUAGUACCCGGAGGAAGAGAAAGAAAAUUCGAUUCCCUUAGUAGCGGCGAGCGAAACGGGAAGAGCCCAAACCAACAAGCUUGCUUGUUGGGGUUGUAGGACACUCUAUACGGAGUUACAAAGGACGACAUUAGACGAAUCAUCUGGAAAGAUGAAUCAAAGAAGGUAAUAAUCCUGUAGUCGAAAAUGUUGUCUCUCUUGAGUGGAUCCUGAGUACGACGGAGCACGUGAAAUUCCGUCGGAAUCUGGGAGGACCAUCUCCUAAGGCUAAAUACUCUCUAGUGACCGAUAGUGAACCAGUACCGUGAGGGAAAGGUGAAAAGCACCCCGGAAGGGGAGUGAAAUAGAACCUGAAACCGUGUGCUUACAAGUAGUCAGAGCCCGUUAAUGGGUGAUGGCGUGCCUUUUGUAGAAUGAACCGGCGAGUUACGAUUUGAUGCAAGGUUAAGCAGUAAAUGUGGAGCCGUAGCGAAAGCGAGUCUGAAUAGGGCGUUUAGUAUUUGGUCGUAGACCCGAAACCAGGUGAUCUACCCUUGGUCAGGUUGAAGUUCAGGUAACACUGAAUGGAGGACCGAACCGACUUACGUUGAAAAGUGAGCGGAUGAACUGAGGGUAGCGGAGAAAUUCCAAUCGAACCUGGAGAUAGCUGGUUCUCUCCGAAAUAGCUUUAGGGCUAGCCUCAAGUGAUGAUUAUUGGAGGUAGAGCACUGUUUGGACGAGGGGCCCCUCUCGGGUUACCGAAUUCAGACAAACUCCGAAUGCCAAUUAAUUUAACUUGGGAGUCAGAACAUGGGUGAUAAGGUCCGUGUUCGAAAGGGAAACAGCCCAGACCACCAGCUAAGGUCCCAAAAUAUAUGUUAAGUGGAAAAGGAUGUGGCGUUGCCCAGACAACUAGGAUGUUGGCUUAGAAGCAGCCAUCAUUUAAAGAGUGCGUAAUAGCUCACUAGUCGAGUGACACUGCGCCGAAAAUGUACCGGGGCUAAACAUAUUACCGAAGCUGUGGAUUGUCCUUUGGACAAUGGUAGGAGAGCGUUCUAAGGGCGUUGAAGCAUGAUCGUAAGGACAUGUGGAGCGCUUAGAAGUGAGAAUGCCGGUGUGAGUAGCGAAAGACGGGUGAGAAUCCCGUCCACCGAUUGACUAAGGUUUCCAGAGGAAGGCUCGUCCGCUCUGGGUUAGUCGGGUCCUAAGCUGAGGCCGACAGGCGUAGGCGAUGGAUAACAGGUUGAUAUUCCUGUACCACCUAUAAUCGUUUUAAUCGAUGGGGGGACGCAGUAGGAUAGGCGAAGCGUGCGAUUGGAUUGCACGUCUAAGCAGUAAGGCUGAGUAUUAGGCAAAUCCGGUACUCGUUAAGGCUGAGCUGUGAUGGGGAGAAGACAUUGUGUCUUCGAGUCGUUGAUUUCACACUGCCGAGAAAAGCCUCUAGAUAGAAAAUAGGUGCCCGUACCGCAAACCGACACAGGUAGUCAAGAUGAGAAUUCUAAGGUGAGCGAGCGAACUCUCGUUAAGGAACUCGGCAAAAUGACCCCGUAACUUCGGGAGAAGGGGUGCUCUUUAGGGUUAACGCCCAGAAGAGCCGCAGUGAAUAGGCCCAAGCGACUGUUUAUCAAAAACACAGGUCUCUGCUAAACCGUAAGGUGAUGUAUAGGGGCUGACGCCUGCCCGGUGCUGGAAGGUUAAGAGGAGUGGUUAGCUUCUGCGAAGCUACGAAUCGAAGCCCCAGUAAACGGCGGCCGUAACUAUAACGGUCCUAAGGUAGCGAAAUUCCUUGUCGGGUAAGUUCCGACCCGCACGAAAGGCGUAACGAUUUGGGCACUGUCUCAACGAGAGACUCGGUGAAAUCAUAGUACCUGUGAAGAUGCAGGUUACCCGCGACAGGACGGAAAGACCC
rnacentral:rRNA from 1 species